GACUUGCGGACCCCUGAAUAAGUGGCGAGUUGCUCCUUUAAGAACUGUAUCGAGUCGGAGAUCCCCAGACAUCCAGGUGGUCUGCUGUAGAAGACACGGGUGCCCGGCCACCUCGAGGAAGCUGUCGGAUUCUUUUGGGUCGUGUGAGCUUGAGCAUGAUGCUUUCUGAGGGAUCUCCCAACACGUGGUUCUGUUAUCCUAAAGAAUGUUGAAUCGUGAGACAGUUUUUCUGUCCAACUCGCUGUUCUCAGGAAUUUGAAAAACCAGGUGAAUGGGAAGCAAAUAUCAGAAGCACUUGGAAAAAGUACUCAGUGGGGAGAUGAAGCCCCGAGGGGAGAGAUGAGGAAGAGGCGGGCACCACCACAGGCAGGAGCCGAACAUAAAUAGCGUCUCCGAGUUAAGAUCGAGACCGCAAGAGAUAGGAAAACAGCGCGGCACAGCUCUUCCUCCGUGACCUUACGCAGCUCAACGUCUCCGAACCUCAGGUUUCUCACCUGUAAGAUGGUUUUGAAAAUACCGAACUCCCGAAAUAGUUGGGAGGACUAAAUAAGCGUGUAUAAGGUGCCUAGCAUUUCGUAAUACGGCAGGAGAAAAGUAAUCCCACUCGUCUGUUCGGGAAGAUGAGUCAUGUUCUUGGGGCUCCUCUGUUCUGCUGAGGCCCACCGGGAUGGGUUCGGGCAUCUAAAUGUGGGGUAGGACCUGGAGAAGGUAGGCGGGACGUGGUUUCCCCGUGUGAGAAGAGCCGGAACAACGGGCCUCUCCCAGGAUAGCCCGGCGACGAGAAAGUAAGAGCAGAACCGGAAAGGUAGUGGGAGACGGACCCAGGUGAGCAGGGUGGUGGAGGGCUGCGCGCCUUCAUGGGUGAACCCUUACGACCACAGACUCCUUCCUUGAAGUCUGGGGGUGCUCGGUCCACGUGGAACUCCUCGUGGAAACCGCGGAAGGACUGUGUGCUGGGUCCCGGCUGGAAUGGGACGGACCGUCUGUACGAUGGUAAAAUAACGUGUUUCAGCCACAAGAGGGCAGCUGUGAGACCGUGAGCUCCAAGCUUCCACAGGCCCCAUUUCCCCAAACCCCUAAGGGGCAGGGAGGCCCGUGGGUGUCUUUGUUACCACUCCUAGUGUACGGAGUUAGAGCACUUUUCAGAUCGUAAGUAAAUGAAAACCUUCUUUAAAUCAUCCCAUGUUAGGCACAUGAGCACAUCCAAAGAUCCCAGGGCCUUGGGCUUUGUUUACACACGUCAGCGGGAGCUUGGCAUAGAUCUCAAAGGAAGGUGACUCUCCUACCAAAGCGCUUUUAUUGUUCAGAUUUAGGCGUGUGCAAAUGAAAUAAACAUUUUUAGAGUAAAAUAAUGGCAUAUAAAAGUUGCUUUUCUUGGUUUUCAGGUGUAUGUAUGCAUUUUUUAGACUCCAACUCGUGGGUACCUUGCCAGCUAUAUUUACUAAGCAAUAUUUCUGAAAAUGGGUUCACUCAGAGACUUCCCCUCCUCCUCUGUGCUGGCCCUGACCCGGGCCUUCCCUGCCUCAUGAAUUACAGUGGGAGUGUUGUGUCUGGAGAGCGACAUUAAGCCUGAUCUCUGUAGAUGGGUUUCAGAGAAGUCGAGAACCUUCUUAAAUUGUAUGCAGAAUUUUGUGUAUCUGCAGGGGGGUGCCUAAGAGUCCAGAACAGAGGCGGGUCACUGGAAGGAAUAGAAAAUGUUGGGUGUAAUAAAUGGAAGGAAAAAAAUAACACUGUGCUGUGUCGCGGGGAGAAGGCCUUUGGCAUAAAACGAGAUACAUACGCGCACGUUUGUACCCUGGUCGUCUCGGAUGAGCUGUGUUACGGUGUUACGGCGUAAUGUAAUGUGCUUAAGAGAAGCUCUGUGAGCGGUGCGGGAAGGCCUGCGGAGGCGAGAACAGCCAGGCGUUUCCGAGGGGCCGGCUGGGGAGUGGAAGGAACUGGCUCUGAGUGGACGCGCUGAAGCUACAACACAGUUUGCCUCUUGGUGGCAAAGAAGGCAGUUCUUGCUGUGACACUGGAGUGAGGUUCCCAUUGCUGGUGUGGCUCGUGUUCAGAUUCUCAAAUAAACCUGUUACACCACGUGG